rnacentral:rRNA from 1 species
AGAGUUUGAGUCCUGGCUCAGGAUGAACGCUAGCUACAGGCUUAACACAUGCAAGUCGCGGGGCGAUCAGGAGAGAAGCUUGCUUUCUUGCUGGCGACCGGCGCACGGGUGAGUAACGCGUAUCCAACCUUCCCCUUACGUAGGGCAUAGCCCGGCGAAAGUCGGAUUAAUACCCUAUGUUGUCCGACGAAGGCAUCUGACUUGGACCAAAGAUUUAUCGCUAAGGGAUGGGGAUGCGUCUGAUUAGGUAGUAGGCGGGGCAACGGCCCACCUAGCCGACGAUCAGUAGGGGUUCUGAGAGGAAGGUCCCCCACAUUGGUACUGAGACACGGACCAAACUCCUACGGGAGGCAGCAGUGAGGAAUAUUGGUCAAUGGGCGAGAGCCUGAACCAGCCAAGUAGCGUGCAGGACGACUGCCCUAUGGGUUGUAAACUGCUUUUAUGCGGGGAUAAAGUGACGUACGCGUACGUUUUUGCAGGUACCGCAUGAAUAAGGACCGGCUAAUUCCGUGCC